UACGGGGGGGGGCAAGCGUUGUUCGGAAUUACUGGGCGUAAAGGGUUCGUAGGUGGCCGACUAAGUCAUACGUGAAAUCCCUCAGCUUAACUGGGGAACUGCGUCUGAUACUGGUUGGCUUGAGUGCAGGAGAGGAACGCGGAAUUCCAGGUGUAGCGGUGAAAUGCGUAGAUAUCUGGAGGAACACCGGUGGCGAAGGCGGCGUUCUGGACUGCAACUGACGCUGAGGCAUGAAAGCGUGGGGGAGCAAACAGG
rnacentral:rRNA from 1 species